GAUGAAGAACGCAGCGAAAUGCGAUAAGUAAUGUGAAUUGCAGAAUUCAGUGAAUCAUCGAAUCUUUGAACGCACAUUGCGCCCCUUGGUAUUCCGGGGGGCAUGCCUGUUCGAGCGUCAUUUCACCACUCAAGCCUCGCUUGGUAUUGGGCAACGCGGUCCGCCGCGUGCCUCAAAUCGACCGGCUGGGUCUUCUGUCCCCUAAGCGUUGUGGAAACUAUUCGCUAAAGGGUGUUCGGGAGGCUACGCCGUAAAACAACCCCAUUUCUAAGGUUGACCUCGGAUCAGGUAGGGAUACCCGCUGAACUUAAGCAUAUCAAUAAGCGGAGGA
rnacentral:misc_RNA from 1 species